rnacentral:rRNA from 1 species
CAUGUGGAGGGCCGAACCUGUUGUUGUUGAAAAAACAUUGGAUGACUUGUGGAUAGGGGUGAAAAGCCAAUCGAGCUCGGAGAUAGCUGGUUCUCCCCGAAAUAGUUUGAGGACUAGCGUUGAAAUUUAACCCGUGGGGGUAGAGCACUGACAGGGCUAGGGGGCUUACCGGCUUACCGAACCCCAUCAAACUCCGAAUACCGCGGCGAACAUUUCAGCAGUCAGACAGUGGGGGAUAAGCUCCAUUGUCAAAAGGGAAACAGCCCAGACCAACAGCUAAGGUCCCUAAUUGAUACUCAGUGGUAAAGGAAGUCUCGUCGCAUAGACAACUAGGAGGUUGGCUUAGAAGCAGCCACCCUUGAAAGAGUGCGUAAUAGCUCACUAGUCGAGUGAUGGGGCGCCGAAAAUUCAACGGGGCUCAAGUAUCAAACCGAAGCUUUGGGAUUUAUGUUCAAACAUGGAUCGGUAGGGGAGCGUUGUAGCGUAGGCUGAAGGCAGACCGUGAGGACUGCUGGACGAACUACAAGUGCGAAUGCAGGUAUAAGUAGCGAUAAAAGAGAGUGAGAACCUCUCUGGCCGGAAGUCUAAGGUUUCCUGAGCAACGUCAAUCGUCUCAGGGUGAGUCGGGAGCUAAGCCGAGGCUGAGAAGCGUAGGCGAUGCACAAGCAGUUCAUAUUCUGCUACCACCGAUAAGCGUUUUGACUUGUCCGAACAUUGCAAACCGCUCUUUAAACGGAGUGGUUUUUGGUGUUCGUACAAGCCAAUGAAUCGAAGGGAUGACGGAGGAAGAUAUGUCAGCGCACUGAUGGAUAUGUGCGUUUAAGCUGGUAGGGGGUCACAUAGGCAAAUCCGUGUGGCUAACUCCGAGAAGUGAAUACGAGCGUCUUCGGACGCGAAGUGACAGACUCUACGCUUCCAAGAAAAGUCUCUAGAUAGCAUUAUAGGUGCCCGUACCGUACACCGACACUGGUAGACUGGCAGAGCAUGCUAAGGCCACGGGAGAAUCCCUGUUAAGGAACUCGGCAAAUUGACCCCGUAACUUUGGGAGAAGGGGUGCCGCUUUUGGUCUAGUCUUUACGACGAAAGCUGAGGGCGGUUGCAAAAAAUAGGCCCAAGCGACUGUUUAACAAAAACACAGGUCUCUGCGAACGCGAAAGCGGACGUAUAGGGGCUGACUCCUGCCCGGUGCUGGAAGGUUAAAGGGAGAGGUUAGCGCAAGCGAAGCUUUGAUCUGAAGCCCCAGUAAACGGCGGCGGUAACUAUAACCGUCCUAAGGUAACAACUAUAUCGUUGCCUCACCACACAGUAAUGUGCGGACGAAAACUCGGCUAUAUGCGGGAACAUCCUGAGAGCCCAACCUACUAACUCGUUAGAAGUAUUUUCGACGAGCAGUAAAAAUGGUUUGGGAUUGGACAAUCCGCAGGAAACCUCUGGCCUUACGUCAGGGGGAUCCUCAGAGACUAUACGCUGAGCUCCAGGGAUAAGUUGAAUCGCGCGCGAUUCUCUUGCUGGAUGAAGAUAGAGUCCACUCUGGCGUGAAAGCGUCAGAAGAAAAGUGAGCGAAAUUCCUUGUCGGGUAAGUUCCGACCUGCACGAAUGGAGUAACGACUUGGGCGCUGUCUCAAUGGGGAACCCGGCGAAAUUGCAGUACCAGUGAAGAUGCUGGUUACCCGCGGCAGGACGGAAAGACCCCAUGAAGCUUUACUGUAUCCUGAUCUUGGGGUCUGAGAUUUUCUGUACAGGAUAGGUGGGAGGCGAUGAUCCGUGGGCGCUAGCUUACGGGGAGCCAACGUUGGGAUACCACCCUGAAAAUCUUGGGCUUCUAACUGACCGCCAUUAUCUGGUGGCAAGACAUGGUCAGGUGGGCAGUUUGACUGGGGCGGUCGCCUCCUAAAGAGUAACGGAGGCGCUCAAAGGUUCCCUCAGAACGGUCAGAAACCGUUCAUUAGAGUGCAUUGGCAAAAGGGAGCUUGACUGCGAGACAGACAAGUCGAGCAGGUGCGAAAGCAGGACAAAGUGAUCCGGCGGUACCGAAUGGAAGGGCCGUCGCUUAUCGGAUAAAAGCUACUCUGGGGAUAACAGGCUUAUCUCCCCCAAGAGUCAAUUAGGGCUCUCCGCUCGAGCGAUCGAGCGGCAAACUCACUACUCAUAUCGGUGAAACCCAUGCGCUGCCAAAAGCGCUAGGGCAAUACCGAGGGAAGAACAUUCACCGUUUUAACAGACGGGCUAAACUUCAAUUGAGGCACGCCUCGUGAAUGUUCCCUGUAACGACUCAGCACACCGGGUGCUGGAUGGUUGUUCACUCGCGUCACCCUGAGCUUGUCGAAGGGCGGGGCGAAAUUUAAGACUUCCAUAAUACGUAGUGCUCUCGAAAGAGAUGAAGGUAUAGUCUAGGCUGUAAGUGAUUACAGAAUGCCACAUCGACGGGGAGGUUUGGCACCUCGAUGUCGGAUCGUCGCAUCCUGGGGCUGUAGUAGGUCCCAAGGGUUGGGCUGUUCGCCCAUUAAAGCGGUACGCGAUCUGGGUUCAGAACGUCGUGAGACAGUUCGGUCCCUAUCCGCCGUGGGCGUUAGAAUUUUGAGGAGUGUCGACCCUAGUACGAGAGGACCGGGUUGAACGAACCUCUGGUGAACCGGUUGUUCCGCCAGGAGCAUAGCCGGGUAGCUAUGUUCGGACCAGAUAAGCGCUGAAAGCAUAUAAGCGCGAAACUGACUCCAAGAUGAGAAUUCGAUCUCGUAAGAGUGAAGGGUCGUGGUAGACUACCACGUUGAUAGGCCGGAAGUGGAAGGCGAGUAAUCGUCGGAGCUAACCGGUACUAAUCGCCCGGAAUUUUUUACAAG